rnacentral:rRNA from 1 species
GACGAACGCUGGCGGCGUGCUUAACACAUGCCAGUCGAACGGCAACGCCCUGCUUUUUUGGUCUUCUCGAGUGGCGAUCGGGUGAGUAACACGUGAACAUCCUGCUCUUCAUUUUGGUAUAACUUCACGUAACUGGGGCUACUACAGUAUAGCAUCUCCUGCUGCAUGGUGGGCGUUGGAUCUUUUCGGCGGGUGCGGAUGGAUUCGCGGCUUAUCAGCUUGUUGGUUGGGUGGUGGCUUACCCAGGAAUUGGAGGGUAGCCGGCAUGAGAGGGUGACCGGGGACAUGGGGACUAAGAUACGGCGCAGACUGGAACGGGAGGCAGCAGGGGGGAAUAUUGUACAAUGGGAGGAAGUCUGAGGCAGCAACGCUGGGGGUGUGAUGACGGUCUGUGGGGUGAAAAAAGCUUUAGGCUGUGACGAGGCGGGAGUGACGGUAAUGGGUAAAGAAGCACCGGCUAACUACGUG